GGUUGGAGGGAAUGGAAUAGUCAUUCCCUCCUUAUUCUUAAAUGAAUAGUUAAGCCAUAGUUUGCUUCACCGUUUUCUUCAUUCGACGAAUGGCUAUUCCUCUCCUAUUCAUCUAAUUUGCCGAAUCAUCAUUCAGUGAAGGGGGCUAAGAAUAAUCUAUUCAACAAUGGACGUAAUAGCAAAAUUUCCCCUCCAGACAAUUUUACCCUGUAUUUGUUCAACCAUCGUUCGUCAAUUUCGUCGUUGUUGUGAAAGUGGUGCCUCUGUCGAUUCAUCUCCGACUCAUUCCCUGCCUCCGCAAAGCUGCCUCCUUUCCCUUGUGAGAACCUCUAGAAUUUGGACCAAUUUGAACGUGAUGGGUUUAUAGUGGAUGAUGAAGAGGAGGAGGAAGAUGAAAAUGAUCAAGUUUUGAAAAGCAAGAA